AACGCCGCGGGGCUGCAUGGCCCUGCGGCCAAAGGAAGCGAUUCCGGCAACGGAUGGGCAUGCGUGACAUUAGCUAGUUGGCGGGGCAAACGGCCCACCAAGGCGACGAUGUCUAGGGGUUCUGAGAGGAAGGUCCCCCACACUGGUACUGAGACACGGACCAGACUCCUACGGGAGGCAGCAGUGAGGAAUAUUGGUCAAUGGGCGCGAGCCUGAACCAGCCAAGUCGCGUGAGGGAAGACGGCCCUACGGGUUGUAAACCUCUUUUGUCGGGGAGCAAAUUCCGCCACGUGUGGCGGAGUCGAGAGUACCCGAAGAAAAAGCAUCGGCUAACUCCGUGCCAGCAGCCGCGGUAAUACGGAGGAUGCGAGCGUUAUCCGGAUUUAUUGGGUUUAAAGGGUGCGUAGGCGGACUGUCAAGUCAGCGGUAAAAUACGGGGGCUCAACCUCCGCCCGCCGUUGAAACUGACGGUCUUGAGUGGGCGAGAAGUAUGCGGAAUGCGUGGUGUAGCGGUGAAAUGCAUAGAUAUCACGCAGAACUCCGAUUGCGAAGGCAGCAUACCGGCGCCCAACUGACGCUGAAGCACGAAAGCGUGGGUAUCGAACAAGAUUAGAUACCCUGGUAGUCCACGCAGUAAACGAUGAAUACUAGCUGUCCGGGUGGAUUGAGCCUUGGGUGGCACAGCGAAAGCGUUAAGUAUUCCAUCUGGGGGAGUUCGCCGGCAACGGUGAAACUCAAAGGAAUUGACGGGGGUCCGCACAAGGGGAGGAACAUGUGGUUUAAUUCGAUGAUACGCGAGGUCCCUUACCCGGGCUCAAACGACACAGGAACGGUCAUGAAAGGGGUCGGCUCUACGGAGCCUGUGUCGAGGUGGUGCAUGGUUGUCGUCAGCUCGUGCCGUGAGGUGUCGGCUUAAGUGCCAUAACGAGCGCAACCCCCAUCGACAGUUGCUAACAGGUCAAGUUGAGGACUCUGUCGAGACUGCCGGCGCAAGCUGAGAGGAAGGCGGGGAUGACGUCAAAUCAGCACGGCCCUUACGUCCGGGGCGACACACGUGUUACAAUGGCAGGUACAGCGGGAAGCCAGGCGGGGACGCCGAGCGGAACCCGAAAGCCGUUCUCAGGAAGGAUCGGAGUCUGCAACCCGACUCCGUGAAGCU
rnacentral:rRNA from 1 species